rnacentral:rRNA from 1 species
GUUAAGUCUCUGGGGAAAUCUUCCGGCUUAACCGAAAGGCGUCUCAGGGAUACUGGCAGACUAGGGACCGGAAGAGGUGAGGGGUACUCCAGGGGUAGGAGUGAAAUCCUGUAAUCCUUGGGGGACCACCUGUGGCGAAGGCGCCUCACCAGAACGGCUCCGACAGUGAGGGACGAAAGCUGGGGGAGCAAACCGGAUUAGAUACCCGGGUAGUCCCAGCCGUAAACGAUGUGCGUUAGGUGUAUCGGUGACCACGAGUCACCGAGGUGCCGAAGAGAAAUCGUGAAACGUACCGCCUGGGAAGUACGGUCGCAAGGCUGAAACUUAAAGGAAUUGGCGGGGGAGCACCACAACAGGUGGAGCCUGCGGUUUAAUCGGACUCAACGCCGGAAAACUCACCAGAUAAGACAGCUGAAUGAUAGUCGGGCUGAAGACUCUACUUGACUAGCUGAGAGGAGGUGCAUGGCCGUCGUCAGUUCGUACUGUGAAGC